GAUGAACGCUGGCGGCGUGCCUAAUACAUGCAAGUCGAGCGAACGGACGAGAAGCUUGCUUUUCUGAUGUUAGCGGCGGACGGGUGAGUAACACGUGGAUAACCUACCUAUAAGACUGGGAUAACUUCGGGAAACCGGAGCUAAUACCGGAUAAUAUUUUGAACCGCAUGGUUCAAAAGUGAAAGACGGUCUUGCUGUCACUUAUAGAUGGAUCCGCGCUGCAUUAGCUAGUUGGUAAGGUAACGGCUUACCAAGGCAACGACGCAUAGCCGACCUGAGAGGGUGAUCGGCCACACUGGAACUGAGACACGGUCCAGACUCCUACGGGAGGCAGCAGUAGGGAAUCUUCCGCAAUGGGCGAAAGCCUGACGGAGCAACGCUGCGUGAGUGAUGAAGGUCUUCGGAUCGUAAAACUCUGUUAUUAGGGAAGAACAUAUGUGUAAGUAACUGUGCACAUCUUGACGGUACCUAAUCAGAAAGCCACGGCUAACUACGUG
rnacentral:rRNA from 1 species